GUAGUAAGCUCUUUCGGCCGGGAAGAAAUCGCAUGGGCUAAUACCUUGUGUGGAUGACGGUACCGGAAUAAGAAGCACCGGCUAACUACGUGCCAGCAGCCGCGGUAAUACGUAGGGUGCGAGCGUUAAUCGGAAUUACUGGGCGUAAAGCGUGCGCAGGCGGUUUAGUAAGACAGGCGUGAAAUCCCCGGGCUCAACCUGGGAACUGCGCUUGUGACUGCUAAGCUAGAGUACGGCAGAGGGGGGUGGAAUUCCACGUGUAGCAGUGAAAUGCGUAGAGAUGUGGAGGAACACCGAUGGCGAAGGCAGCCCCCUGGGCCGAUACUGACGCUCAUGCACGAAAGCGUGGGUAGCAAACAGGAUUAGAUACCCUGGUAGUCCACGCCCUAAACGAUGUCAACUAGGUGUUGGGUGGGUAAAACCAUUUAGUACCGUAGCUAACGCGUGAAGUUGACCGCCUGGGGAGUACGGACGCAAGGUUCAAACUCAAAGGAAUUGACGGGGACCCGCACAAGCGGUGGAUGAUGUGGAUUACUUCGAUGCAACGCGAAACACCUUACCUACCCUUGAC
rnacentral:rRNA from 1 species